rnacentral:lncRNA from 10 species
AAAACACAGAAGGCACCCCAGAGAAGCUGGCACUCAUAGUAAACUAUCCAAGGGAUAAUUUGUGGCAACAAAUGAUACACUGAAUAUUGCAUUUAAACUUUAAAACAAUUGUUCACACACAAAAGAAAACUAAUGGCUGAGCUCUCGCUCCACCCCAGCUUCCUGUCACUGUUCAUUUUUCAGUUUCCCCAUGGUUGAAGGAAGCCCUUGGGACUUAUGGCAGCAGAUAGCUCAAAACGAUGCCUGUAGAGCUUUUGUAAUUAUUAUUAUGUUAAACACAUAAUUUGGUUGCUUUGUUCUGUGAGUAUAUGUGCUUAUUUCAGCCUCAUAAUAGUUGCCAGAUUCAGCUGUGUGAUUUGUAUCCUGCAAUAAAAUGCACCGACCACAAGUUUGCCUUUCUGCACCCACGUUUCCACCAGCACUGUGCAAACCAACAAUGCCCAUUAUUGUCUCGGGAGUUUUGCGUAGACCUGAAGUGACAAAGGGGAGUAACUUCAGACAAAUCAACAGAAUGUAAUUACAGGUCAGAAAAGAAGAAAGAAAGAAAAAGAAAGUAAGCCUGUGGAAUAGUUCUCAAAUAUUUUCCCUUCCCUCACAGAGGUCCAAUAGACUUCCAUCAGGACCCUGAUCCUCCAGGGCCUGGAGGAGAGGAGAACAGGAGGAAGGUGCGGGUUCUAGGGUUCUAGAGCAGAGAUUCUCAACAUUGUGCUCUGAGAACCACCUGUAUCAGGUACACUGGAGGCUCUGGUUUAUGUGCAGGUUAAUGAGUGCCAUCCCAAACCUACAAAUCAGAACCUCUGGAGGAGAGGCCUGGGAAUGCAUUUUGACAAACUCCUUAGAAGAUUCUCUGUCACCUGAAGUUUGAGGACCACUGCUGUAGAAGUAUACCUCAUUCAUCUACUUAAAUCAGACUGAGUCUUUUCUUAAGCUGAAUUCAGAUACAUAUCUUUCUGCCCAUUUUUUGCUUUUAUUAUUAUUUUUCAUUGACACAAUAAUUGCACAUAUUAAUGGAGUUCAGUGUAAUAUUUCAAUACAUGUAUACAAUGUGUAAUGAUCAAAUCAGGCAAAUUACCAUAUUCAUCAUCUUAAACACCUGUCAUUCAUUUGUGUUGGGAACAUUCAAAAUCUGCUCUUCUAGGUAUUUAAAAAUAUACAGUAAAUUAUUAUUAAUUAUAUUCACUACAGAACACUAGCGCUACAGCGCUAUAGAACACUAGAACUUAUUCCUUCUAUAUAGCUAUAAUUGCUUUCUGUUAACCAACCUCUGGCUAUGUGCCCCACGCCCCUUCCCUAGUAACCACAAUUCUACUCUCUACUUCUCCGAAAUCAACUUUUUUAGCUCCCACAUAUGAGUGAGAACAUGCGGUACUUGUCUUUCUGUGCCUGGCUUAUUUCACUUAACAUAAUGUCCCCCAAGCACAUCCAUGUUGCCAGAUACAUUUUUAUAAACUGAUUUGUGUUGCCUAGCUUCAGGCUGCGAACCUCUCAAGUAAGUAGUCAUAGAAGCCAUCUCCUUUCAUUUUUUAACUUAUUUGUGUCAGGCAAGAUGGAAAAAAGAGGAAAAAUCAGGCUUCUUGAUCAGAUGUUAUAAAAACAGUGUACCAUUCCUUUAUACACAAAAGUAAAAAGCAAAUUCAAGAAAUUAGUUUGCAUUGGCACUUCUUGGGUGCUUUAAAUCACUUGACAAUGGGAACUGAACAUCAGUGAGCUGGUAUCUGCUAUAAUUACACCUACUGUUGCAUGUUAUUUCUUCUUCCAUGGAACAUAUGGCAACUUUCCAGAAACUUUGUUCUGUUAUUAUACUGUAAUAUUCUUCAAUGCAGGGGGAAAGAGUAUUUUUAAAUUUUUUCCCUUUCCUUUGAAAUUAUUUCCCAUGCCUUUCAUGGACCUUGGUAAUGUUCCAAAACUUUUCUAAUCAAUAAAACAUUGUAAGCUGUCAGAAUGGAUUUUCUUCGCUAGAAUUUAUAUGGCACUACACAUUUAAUAUCUGUUCUACAUAAAUCGUUUUUUGGCAUUAUUUUCUUGUUUCUUGAGAGUCUUUUUUUUCCAGACCUAUUGAAUUAUCUCCAAUUUUAAAGGCUUUAUUAAAGUAGCUCUAGAGUUCCAUUUCCGGAAACACUGAACAGCAAAAUCUUUUUGACAAUUUGCUAUCAUGUUACUUAGAGACUGAGACUCAUUCCAUUUGCAAAGUGUCUAAAAAGAGGGUAUUAGACAUUUGAGGAGGAUGAACUGCUUUGAUCAAACUGGUUAGUACAUUCAGUCAUAUAACCAUUGAAUUCUGGUAGCAAGCUUGAUGAUUGGGGAAUUGUUUUUUGUUCCUUUAGUAUAUUGAGUGGUUGCCUUAAUGAAUUUACGAAAACACUGGGGUUUUUUUUGGUUGCUUGUUUUUUGUUAUUGCCUCAUUGUAGUCCAUAACCAUAAAAAUAACCUCUUAUUGAACACAAAAAUGAAGCUUAACAUUGAACAGUAAUGGCAACUCAAUAAUAAAGCAAAUUAAAAUGGAAAAAAUCUACUCUGAUAUGUACCAAAUAAAAUAUUAUUCUUUAUCUAAUGUCUUCUUAGCUGUGCAAUUACAAUUAUGAUUCAAGUUCUAUACUGUGAUAUUUCAGCAUUAUAAUAGUUUUGUGUUUUAUUGUUUUUUUUUCAAGAACAUACGUUGAAAAAUAUAUGCAGAAUUACAUAUAUUAUUUGCAUUUAUUAAUACUGACCAACCAGUGGGAAGAUAUGGUAAUGGAUAUGUACUGAAGUUUAAACCACUUACCUUUGUGCUAUUCCUGUAUUGUAAUAUGGAAAUGAAAAAAAAGGAAAUAAAUGUUAAAGACUAUGUGAUGGCCUAAGAAUAAUAGAGACCAGCCAGGUCAGUGCUCAUGAGUGAGUGAAAAUAUUGGUAUUUUGCAAGAUGAUUCUUUCUGUUAAUUUGUUUCUAGGGCUAAAUGGCACUAUAUAAAUACAUUGAAGUUAGAAUGCUGACAGAGUGAAAAUGUUUUGCUUUCU